GAUGAAGAACGCAGCGAAAUGCGAUAAGUAAUGUGAAUUGCAGAAUUCAGUGAAUCAUCGAAUCUUUGAACGCACAUUGCGCCCCUUGGUAUUCCGAGGGGCAUGCCUGUUCGAGCGUCAUUAUAACCCCUCAAGCUCAGCUUGGUGUUGGGGCCUGCUGCACUGGCAGCCCUUAAAAUCAGUGGCGGCGCCAUCUGGCUCUAAGCGUAGUAGUUCUUCUCGCUAUGGAGUCCUGGUGGAUGCUUGCCAUCAACCCCCAAUUUUUCUAUGGUUGACCUCGGAUCAGGUAGGGAUACCCGCUGAACUUAAGCAUAUCAAUAAGCGGAGGA
rnacentral:misc_RNA from 1 species